GUGGGGAAUUUUGGACAAUGGGGGCAACCCUGAUCCAGCCAUUCCGCGUGAGUGAAGAAGGCCUUCGGGUUGUAAAGCUCUUUUGUCCGGAGCGAAACGGGUAGUCCUAAUACGGCUGCCUACUGACGGUACCGGAAGAAUAAGCACCGGCUAACUACGUGCCAGCAGCCGCGGUAAUACGUAGGGUGCGAGCGUUAAUCGGAAUUACUGGGCGUAAAGCGUGCGCAGGCGGUUUUGUAAGCCAGAUGUGAAAUCCCCGGGCUCAACCUGGGAAUGGCAUUUGGGACUGCAAGGCUGGAGUGUGGCAGAGGGGACUAGAAUUCCUGGUGUAGCAGUGAAAUGCGUAGAUAUCAGGAGGAAUACCGAUGGCGAAGGCAGGUCCCUGGGCUAACACUGACGCUCAUGCACGAAAGCGUGGGGAGCAAACAGGAUUAGAUACCCGAGUAGUCC
rnacentral:rRNA from 1 species